UUUCUUCCCAUUCAUCGGUAGAUGUCUGGUCAUGGUUUCUUUCUUCCCAUUCAUCGGUAGAUGUCUGGUCGUGGUUUCUUUCUUCCCAUUAAUCGGUAGAUGUCUAGUCGUGGUUCCUUUCUUCCCAUUCAUCGGUAGAUGUCUGGUUGUGGUUUCAUUCUUCCCAUUCAUAUGUAGAUGUCUGGUCGUGGUUUCUUUCUUCCCAGUCAUCGGUAGAUGUCUG
rnacentral:lncRNA from 1 species